rnacentral:rRNA from 1 species
AUUGAACGCUGGCGGCAGGCCUAACACAUGCAAGUCGAGCGGAUGAAGGGAGCUUGCUCCUGGAUUCAGCGGCGGACGGGUGAGUAAUGCCUAGGAAUCUGCCUGGUAGUGGGGGAUAACGUCCGGAAACGGGCGCUAAUACCGCAUACGUCCUGAGGGAGAAAGUGGGGGAUCUUCGGACCUCACGCUAUCAGAUGAGCCUAGGUCGGAUUAGCUAGUUGGUGGGGUAAAGGCCUACCAAGGCGACGAUCCGUAACUGGUCUGAGAGGAUGAUCAGUCACAAUGGAGCUGAGACACGGUCCAGACACCUCUGGGAAGCCGCAGUAGGGAAUAGUAUACGCAGGGAGAAAGCCUGAUACUAACCUGCCGCGUGUAUGCAGAAGGUCUUCGAAUUGUACAGGCCUCCAAGUCGGGAAGAAGGUCAGUUAGUUCGUUCCUAGCUGUCUUGACGAUGCCACCAGAAUAAGCUCGGGCUAGCUCCGUG